GACGAACGCUGGCGGCGUGCUUAACACAUGCAAGUCGAACGGAAAGGCCCUGCUUUUGUGGGGUGCUCGAGUGGCGAACGGGUGAGUAACACGUGAGUAACCUGCCCUUGACUUUGGGAUAACUUCAGGAAACUGGGGCUAAUACCGGAUAGGAGCUCCUGCUGCAUGGUGGGGGUUGGAAAGUUUCGGCGGUUGGGGAUGGACUCGCGGCUUAUCAGCUUGUUGGUGGGGUAGUGGCUUACCAAGGCUGUGACGGGUAGCCGGCCUGAGAGGGUGACCGGCCACAUGGGGACUGAGAUACGGACCAGACUCCUACGGGAGGCAGCAGUGGGGAAUAUUGCACAAUGGGCGGAAGCCUGAUGCAGCAACGCCGCGAUCGGGAUGACGGCCUUCGGGUUGUAAACCGCUUUCGCCUGUGACGAAGCGAGAGUGACGGUAAUGGGUAAAGAAGCACCGGCUAACUACGUG
rnacentral:rRNA from 1 species